UACGUAGGGUGCAAGCGUUGUCCGGAAUUAUUGGGCGUAAAGAGCUCGUAGGCGGCUUGUCGCGUCGUUCGUGAAAACCUGCAGCUCAACUGCAGGCUUGCGGUCGAUACGGGCAGGCUGGAGUUCGGUAGGGGAGACUGGAAUUCCUGGUGUAGCGGUGGAAUGCGCAGAUAUCAGGAGGAACACCGGUGGCGAAGGCGGGAUCCUGGGCCAGUACUGACGCUGAGGUGCGAAAGCGUGGGGAGCAAACAGG
rnacentral:rRNA from 1 species